CAAUUGGUCAAGGGACGUCAUCCAGCGGGCAUGCAGCGUUUCGGAUCACGCGCAUGCGCGUGCCGUGAAGGAUGUUCGGAAAAAAAUAUUCGUCUAUCACAUUGUUAGGCGAACCGGAUAGAAAAUGAGAGACAGAGCAAUCAGUCCUGAACCUUCCAAAAUCACUGCACCUCCUUGACCUUCUUGAACUGCUGCAGUCUGUGCGGUGAAGUUGCUCCCAGAUUGCUGUUCCAUAAGGAGUUACAGGAUUUUCAUCCAGUGGUGACAAGGGCAACCAGAACUGGACACAGUAUUUCAGAAGAGGCCUCAACGAUGUCCUGUAUGACCUCAACAUGAUGUCCCAACUCCUGUAAACAAAGGUCUGAGCAAUUAA